GGUGAACGCUGGCGGCGUGCCUAAUACAUGCAAGUCGAGCGAACAGAUGGGGGGAUCGCUCCUCUGGCGCUAGCGACGGAUGGGGGAGUAGCACGAAGAUGACCUACCUAUGGGACUGGGGUAACUUCGGGAACCCGGAGCUAAUAUCGGUUCAUAUAUUGAAAGGCAUGGUCCAAUAGUGCCCGAGCAUUUUGCUGUCACUAAUAGAUGGAUCCGCGCCGCAUUAGCUAGUUGGUAAGGUAACAGCUUACCAAGGCAACGAUGCGUAGACGAUCUGAGAGGGUGAUCCGCCACACUGGAACUGAGACACGCAGCAGACUCCUACGGGAGGCAGCAGUAGGGAAUCUUCCGCAAUGGGCGAAAGCCUGACGGAGCAACGCCGCGUGAGUGAUGAAGGUCUUCGGAUCGUAAAACUCUGUUAUUAGGGAAGAACAAAUGUGUAAGUAACCAUGCACGUAUUGACGGUACCUAACCAGAAAGCAACGGCUAACUACGUG
rnacentral:rRNA from 1 species